rnacentral:rRNA from 1 species
UACGAAGGGGGCUAGCGUUGCUCGGAAUCACUGGGCGUAAAGCGCACGUAGGCGGCUUUUUAAGUCAGGGGUGAAAUCCCGGAGCUCAACUCCGGAACUGCCUUUGAUACUGAAAAGCUUGAGUUCGGGAGAGGUGAGUGGAACUGCGAGUGUAGAGGUGAAAUUCGUAGAUAUUCGCAAGAACACCAGUGGCGAAGGCGGCUCACUGGCCCGAUACUGACGCUGGAGGUGCGAAAGCGUGGGGAGCAAACAGG